rnacentral:rRNA from 1 species
UGUGUAGGUACCUACCCCCCGAUCUGGGAUAGCUGCGGGAAACUGCAGGUAAUACCGGAUAAUGUCUUCGGACCAAAGGUGUGAUUCCGUCAGGGGAGGGGCCUGCAUCCUAUUAGCUUGUUGGUGAGGUAAUGGCUCACCAAGGCAACGAUGGGUAGCGGGUGUGAGAGCAUGACCCGCGUCAUUGGGACUGAGACACUGCCCAGACAUCUACGGAUGGCUGCAGUCGAGAAUCUUCGGCAAUGGGCGAAAGCCUGACCGAGCGACGCCGCGUGCGGGAUGAAGGCCUUCGGGUUGUAAACCGCUGUCUUGGGGAGGAAAUGCAAAAGGG